AACGAACGCUGGCGGCAUGCCUAACACAUGCAAGUCGAACGAGACCUUCGGGUCUGGUGGCGCACGGGUGCGUAACGCGUGGGAACCUGCCCUUAGGUUCGGAAUAACUCCCCGAAAGGGGUGCUAAUACCGGAUAAUGUCUUCGGACCAAAGAUUUAUCGCCUUUGGAUGGGCCCGCGUUGGAUUAGCCAGUUGGUAGGGUAAAAGCCUACCAAGGCGACGAUCCAUAGCUGGUCUGAGAGGAUGAUCAGCCACACUGGGACUGAGACACGGCCCAGACUCUUACGGGAGGCAGCAGAGGGGAAUAUUGGACUAUGGGCGAAAGCAUGAUCCAGCAAUGCCGCGUGAGUGAUAAAGGCCUUAGGGUUGUAAAGCUCUUUUACCCGGGAUGAUAAUGACAGUACCGGGAGAAUAAGCUCCGGCUAACUCCGUG
rnacentral:rRNA from 1 species